GGUGACCUUAAUGACUUAGCGAGCGCGACGGGUGAGUAACACGUGGGCACCUGCCUGUAAGACUGGGAUAACUUCGGGAAACCGGAGCUAAUACCGGAUAAUUCUUUUCAACACAUGUUGGAAAGUUAAAAGUCGGUUUCGGCUGACACUUACAGAUGGGCCCGCGGCGCAUUAGCUAGUUGGUGAGGUAACGGCUCACCAAGGCGACGAUGCGUAGCCGACCUGAGAGGGUGAUCGGCCACACUGGGACUGAGACACGGCCCAGACUCCUACGGGAGGCAGCAGUAGGGAAUCUUCCACAAUGGACGAAAGUCUGAUGGAGCAACGCCGCGUGAGCGAUGAAGGCCUUCGGGUCGUAAGCUCUGUUGUUAGGGAAGAACAAGUAUCGGAGUAACUGCCGGUACCUUGACGGUACCUAACCAGAAAGCCACGGCUAACUACGUGCCAGCAGCCGCGGUAAUACGUAGGUGGCAAGCGUUGUCCGGAAUUAUUGGGCGUAAAGCGCGCGCAGGCGGUCCUUUAAGUCUGAUGUGAAAGCCCACGGCUCACCGUGGAGGGUCAUUGGAAACUGGGGGACUUGAGUGCAGAAGAGGAAAGCGGAAUUCCACGUGUAGCGGUGAAUGCGUAGAGAUGUGGAGGAACACCAGUGGCGAGGGCGGCUUUCUGGUCUGUAACUGACGCUGAGGCGCGAAAGCGUGGGGAGCAAACAGGAUAGAUACCCUGGUAGUCCACGCCGUAAACGAUGAGUGCUAAGUGUAGAGGGUUCCGCCCUUUAGUGCUGCAGCUAACGCAUUAAGCACUCCGCCUGGGGAGUACGGCCGCAAGGCUGAAACUCAAAGGAAUUGACGGGGGCCCGCACAAGCGGUGGAGCAUGUGGUUUAAUUCGAAGCAACGCGAAGAACCUUACCAGGUCUUGACAUCCUCUGACACUCCUAGAGAUAGGACGUUCCCCUUCGGGGGACAGAGUGACAGGUGGUGCAUGGUGUCGUCAGCUCGUGUCGUGAGAUGUUGGGUUAAGUCCCGCAACGAGCGCAACCCUUGAUCUUAGUUGCCAGCAUUCAGUUGGGCACUCUAAGGUGACUGCCGGUGACAAACCGGAGGAAGGUGGGGAUGACGUCAAAUCAUCAUGCCCCUUAUGACCUGGGCUACACACGUGCUACAAUGGAUGGUACAAAGGGCUGCGAGACCGCAAGGUUUAGCCAAUCCCAUAAAACCAUUCUCAGUUCGGAUUGCAGGCUGCAACUCGCCUGCAUGAAGCCGGAAUCGCUAGUAAUCGCGUAUAA
rnacentral:rRNA from 2 species